CAUUGGAGAGGUUCAGCAGAGGAAAGAGUCCAUGUUACAUCACUGCCCAUAUGCUAGACACUGGAGGUCACAAAUCUCAUAAAACUUUUGGCAACAAGAAACCUAAAGUUUGUUUGAACUAAUCUAUGUCUCCUCAUUUAAGGAAUACAUCUACUGAAGCAGUCUACUCCGGCCACCAAAGUAUAAAAGCUGGACAAACAACAUAACGGAAAUCAUUUGAAGGCAUUUGAAAGUGACCACCAUUCAUAGUUCUUUAAGGGUUAUAAACCCUGAGAGAUAAAAGGAAUCAGUAGAACCCAUACUUAUGGCAACAUUUCUCCUUUAGGGUAUAUUCAGCUUACUGUGUGGAAUAGAUUCAAAGAAGAAAGCCAAAGUCUCCCUGGGCUGAGGAAACACUGGAUUUACAGUACAGUCACAGCAGCUGUGAUUUGAGGGGACAAAAAUCUCAAAGAAUGUAUAUAACUGAACCCCAAAAUCUGUAUUCCAUUUUUAUUUUAGACUUUUUCAACUCUCAAGCUGUACAGGGAAAGCUCUAAGACGCCCAACCAAAAGCAGUAGUUUAGACUGUGUGAAAGCACUGAACACAUAUUUCAAUAGUUAACUGAAUGAGUAGGCUUGGCAAAUAUUCUGUGCUCUCAGUUGAUACCCCAGGACUAUAUCCUAGAAGCAUGAUCCAUACCCUGGAAGAGAAAAACUGAAAAAACAACAAGAACCAAUUUUGAACUGAAAAUGUUUCAGAAAAAAUUGCGUCUGCACUUAACAUGUACAGAUUAUUUUUCUGGUCAUUAUUCCGUAAACAAUAUAGUGUAACAACUAUUACA